AUUGAACGCUGGCGGCAGGCCUAACACAUGCAAGUCGAGCGGAGCGGCGGACGGGUGCGUAAUACCUCGGAAUCUGCCUGGUAGUGGGGGAUAACGUUCGGAAACGGACGCUAAUACCGCAUACUAGAAGAUGAGCCUAGGUCGGAUUAGCUAGUUGGUGAGGUAAUGGCUAACAAAGGCUACGAUCCGUAACUGGGCUGAGAGGAUGAUCAGUCACCCUGGAAAUUAGACACGGUCCCGCCUCCUACGGUAGGCAGCAGUGGGGAAUAUUGGACAAUGGGCGAAAGCCUGAUCCAGCCAUGCCGCGUGUGUGAAGAAGGUCUUCGGAUUGUAAAGCACUUUAAGUUGGGAGGCGUUACCGACAGAAUAAGCACCGGCUAACUCUGUGCCAGCAGCCGCGGUAAUAC
rnacentral:rRNA from 1 species